UACGUAGGGGGCAAGCGUUAUCCGGAAUUACUGGGUGUAAAGGGUGAGUAGGCGGCAUGGUAAGCCAGAUGUGAAAGCCUUGGGCUUAACCUGAGGAUUGCAUUUGGAACUAUCAAGCUAGAGUACAGGAGAGGAAAGCGGAAUUCCUAGUGUAGCGGUGAAAUGCGUAGAUAUUAGGAAGAACACCAGUGGCGAAGGCGGCUUUCUGGACUGAAACUGACGCUGAGGCACGAAAGCGUGGGGAGCGAACAGG
rnacentral:rRNA from 1 species